GGAAGUGCGGCAAUAACAGGUCUGUGAUGCCCUUAGAUGUCCUAGGCUGCACGCGCGCUACACUGUCUGGUACAAUGAGUCUACAAUGCUGGUCCGAUAGGAUUGGCGAAUCUUGUGAAUGCUUGACGUGAUGGGGAUUGAUCAUUGAAAUUAUUGGUCAUGAACGAGGAAUUCCUUGUAGGUAUGCUUCAUCAAAGCAUGCCGACUACGUCCCUGCCCUUUGUACACACCGCCCGUCGCUCCUACCGAUUGAGUGAUCAGAUGAAAUCCGCGGAUCCGAGCCGGCUUGCUGGUUCAGAGAAGUUGAGUAAAUCUUAUUGCUUAGAGGAAGGAGAAGUCGUAACAAGGUUUCCGUAGGUGAACCUGCAGAAGGAUCA
rnacentral:rRNA from 1 species